ACAGAUAGAUACAAAACAAUGCAGGUCCGUGGACAACUCUGCUCGGAGGGCUUCAGAGAUGUGCCUGUGCAUUUCACCUCCAGGAGAUCUCUGCCGGUGGACCUGCCGGGCCAGCACCUACUCUGCCAGCGUGUUUCUGCUGUUCAGAUUCCUCCAUUGAGGACUGCAUUGAACUGUUUGUCAAUGUUCAAUAAGCAAAGGUUUUGGGUGCUCUUAUGUGUCAGCAGCAAGACCAAACCUUAACUUGGCAAGGAAGCCUGCUCAAGGCCCACAAGACAUGCAGUUACCCAUGCCCAGGACAUCGCCUCAAUAUUCUACAUGUUCAUCACACCAGCCAUCGGAAAAAUCAUCCUGGAGAUGAAAAAUUUGGAGCGUUUCCGAUAAUAUGGAGACAACUGGAAAAGGAUGGAUGAGAUUGACCUGCGUGCCUACAUAGGGUGUGUAUAGGUCCCAAGGCGAGGCUACAUGUAGUCUCUGGGAUACAGAGAUUGGAAGAGCCAUUUUCUGUGCCACGAUGCCACUGGAAGUCUUUCACACUUUCUCAAGAAUGCAACGAUUUGAUAACCAUGAGUCAAGACCUGAAAGACGUGUGAGAGACAAACUGGCGGCCAUAAGAGAGGUCUGGGAGAAGUGGGUGGAGCCAUAAGAGAGGUCUGGGAGGAGUGGGUGGAGCCAUAAGAGAGGUCUGGGAGAAGUGGGU